rnacentral:rRNA from 1 species
UCAUUACCGAGAUAAAGGUUAGAAAAAGCAAUUUUUCGAUACCUUACCUCCCACCCUUUGUUUAUCAUUACGAUUUACUCUUUGACGAGACGUUUCUUCUUUAAGAAAUUAAAUGAGAGCUAUUGAUUCUUUGUGAAAAAAGUUUGAAUGUGUUCUCGUCAAAGUUUUUAUCAAAACUCUUUGAAAUAUCAAUGUUUGUCUGAGUUACAAAAAAAUAAAAUCAAAACUUUCAACAACGGAUCUCUUGGUUCUGGCAUCGAUGAAGAACGCAGCGAAAUGCGAUAAGUAAUGUGAAUUGCAGAAUUCAGUGAAUCAUCGAAUUUUUGAACGCAUAUUGCACCUUAGAGUAUUCUUUAAGGUAUACCUGUUCGAGCGUCGUUUGAACAUAUGAGGCUUUGCCUUUUGAUGGAGUCUUUGACGUUGUCAAAAUGUCAAGCUCCCAAACUUAUUUGGUGUUGAAUCACACAAAAUACAUUUCCGCAUGUGAAAAAUGUGAGAAAUUGUUUUUUGAAAAAGAUUUACCAAAAAUUUCUUUUUAAUUGUUCGACCUCGAAUCAAGUAAGACUACCCGCUGAACUUAAGCAUAUCAAUAAGCGGAGGAAAAGAAACCAACAGGGAUUACCUUAGUAACGGCGAGUGAAGCGGUAAUAGCUCAAAUUUGAAAUCUGGCAACAGCCCGAAUUGUAAUUUGUAGAGGAAUGUUCGGUGAAAUCAUAAUCCAAGUCUUCUGGAAGGAAGCGCCACUGAGGGUGAGAGCCCCGUAGGACUAAUGAUUGAGCCAUGUGUACAUCCUUCGAAGAGUCGAGUUGUUUGGGAAUGCAGCUCAAAAUGGGUGGUAAAUUCCAUCUAAAGCUAAAUAUUGGCCAGAGACCGAUAGCGCACAAGUAGAGUGAUCGAAAGAUGAAAAGCACUUUGGAAAGAGAGUGAAACAGUACGCGAAAUUGUUGAAAGGGAAGCGCUUAUGACCAGACUUGACUCAUGUGUUCAGCCAUUCGUUGAAUGGUGUACUUCAUUUGAGACAGGCCAACAUCGAUUUUUUGGGUCGGAUAAAAUCAUUGGGAACGUGGCUCCUCGGAGUGUUAUAGCCCUUUGAAGAAUACCGGCCACAGGAGAUCGAGGA